AAAAUCUUGUUUUAUUCUUUUGAAAUAAAGCAGUUCAAACAUGCAUACCUGUUAGAAUUGGAAAAGGAAAAAGUGUCUCCACAAAACAAAAGCACCUUAUUUCUGUGUUUUUGAAUGUGUGUACAUGUGAGUACUUAAUUAUCAUCACAAAAAGAUGGAGGUUGAAGACAAAAAAAAAGAAGAGCAAAUUGAUAGAAUGAAGUCCCAGAGGAUGUAGAAGAAAGAAGGGUUCUGAUGCAUGAUUCUUGGCUAGGAGGAGCACUGCUUCACCUGAAAGAGAAGAAAGGGGAUUUUGAAAGACAGGUUCUUUGAAGGCACGUGUUGAAAGAUGUUUAUUAUGAACCAAAACCUGUGAAGGGAAGAGGAGGAAGCAGGAUUGUGCAGAGAAAGAAGUUCAAGAGUUUGUCUAUGAAAUACUGAAUAUUUUUAGAAGAAGGGAGGAAAUAGAGACAAUACUUCUGCCUUGUGGCCUGGUGGUGUACACACCUACCUCUCCAUUGUAGAGUCUGCUCAAUUCUGCCUAAUACCCAACAGUGCAUAAGAAAUGACCAGGGAUGAACUC
rnacentral:lncRNA from 1 species